rnacentral:rRNA from 1 species
AACGCUGGCGGCGUGCUUAAUACAUGCAAGUCAACUUGACUUUAGAUAGCAAUAUCGAAAAGUAGGGUGGCGCACGGGUGCGUAACGCGUAGGUAAUCUGCCCUGAGGUCUGACAUAACCCGUCGAAAGGCGGGCUAACAUCAGAUGAUAUAUAGUCACGACAUCGUGGAAAUAUCAAAUCUUCGGAGCCUUGGAAUGAGCCUGCGUCUGAUUAGGUAGUUGGCGGAGUAAUAGCCCACCAAGCCUACGAUCAGUAGCUGGUCUGAGAGGAUGAUCAGCCACACUGGAACUGAGACACGGUCCAGACUCCUACGGGAGGCAGCAGUAAGGAAUAUUGCUCAAUGGGGGAAACCCUGAAGCAGCAACGCCGCGUGAAGGAUGAAAUACUUUGUAUGUAAACUUCUGUAAGAUGGGAAAAAUAUUCUCCUUGGGAGAAUUGAUUGUACCAUCAGAGUAAGCCCCGGCUAACUACGUG